GGAGGCUGUACUUUUAAGGAGAUUUUAGACCUCUGCUCAAAAAUGUGUUAUGUUUUCUACUUCAACUGCUGCUUAGAAUAUUUGGUUGUGAGAAGGACAGGAGCUGUUUUGGAAAUCAGUCUGACAAACGAUCGCUAAAACGGUGUGUAGCCAAGGUGAGCCCUAAAAAGUAAGGGCUGUUGCUAAGGGAACCGCUAGAGAGAUGUUUAGGGUAUAAACUUUGCUAUCGUAUUUAAAUUUCUUGCUACAGCCCUUGCUUACUGGACUUGAAAAUUUAAACAGCUCCGGUCAGGACAGGAAUGUCCUAGGGGUGAUGGAUGUGAUACGGUGGAGGGCACUGUCAGAAGAGGCAGUGUAGGCUGCUGCAGAGAAGGGAAGGGGUCUGCUGAACAAGAAGAUCACUUUCUGGACUCAGAGAUGCAUGACUUUGAGUGCGAAUUGGCUUACGAUUGGAGAAGAUCGUCCCCGUGCAGCGGCCAAGGUCAGGCUGCCUGCAAAUAUAGACCCUUUCCUCUGCUGCUGUAUUGCCUGUUACAUUAAAUACAGUAUAUGACCAGAGUUUAUUAAUACUGUACUAUAGUCAACAUCCAUUAGUGACAGUGAAAGUCGUCCUGCACAAUAACCUUCCUCUCUCGUCUCCCUCACACCAGCUAUGAAAGUUUUCAAAGGGUAAGAGACCAAUGAUGCAUAUGCUAUCCAUCUGAAGAGCUAUAGAGAAAUAAAAAAUACUGAGAGCCCUGUCCACUUUUUAUUUUGUCCUGUUGAGAGAAGGAGAGGUUAGUGAACUAUUUGCCAAGGGAAGGAGGUGGCCAGUGGGGCCUCCAAGAUCAUCCCGGAAGCAUGGCCCAGAAGCAAUAACUAUUAGAUUCUAGAAGGCAAUGCUCAACAGGAAGGGCAGUGAAAAACAGAGUAACUCAAAUGGUUUAGAGAGAGCCCUGUCUUAUACCCAGGAGCCUUUCCUUCUAGGAGUGCUGGCUGAUGAUGGGAACUGUAAGAGAGCUCCGGUCAUGGAAUGGGGUAAUGUUGGAGUGGCUCUGGUGACCCUUUUAACCUGGAGGCUCAUCUACCUCCUCUGGUCUGAAACACCAAGUCUCGUGUGGGGUCUAUGCAUAUACCGGCCAUCCCAUCAACAGUGAAGUCACACAUAAUUUGCCAAAUCGUGAGUUCCCGGGUAAGGCCUCUACUCCUUUGCUACGAGGCUGAUCAGAAGCCGAGUCUUUCGUUCUUUUUCUACGAAGUUAGCAACAUAGAAUAUGGGGAGAAGAGAUUAAAAUGUUCUAAGAAUAAAAUGUGGCAUCUCUAAAAAUUACCUUUUCA
rnacentral:lncRNA from 1 species